rnacentral:rRNA from 2 species
GUAGGGCGGGACACGUGGUAUCCUGUCUGAAUAUGGGGGGACCAUCCUCCAAGGCUAAAUACUCCUGACUGACCGAUAGUGAACCAGUACCGUGAGGGAAAGGCGAAAAGAACCCCGGCGAGGGGAGUGAAAAAGAACCUGAAACCGUGUACGUACAAGCAGUGGGAGCCUCUUUAUGGGGUGACUGCGUACCUUUUGUAUAAUGGGUCAGCGACUUAUAUUCUGUAGCAAGGUUAACCGUAUAGGGGAGCCGAAGGGAAACCGAGUCUUAACUGGGCGUUAAGUUGCAGGGUAUAGACCCGAAACCCGGUGAUCUAGCCAUGGGCAGGUUGAAGGUUGGGUAACACUAACUGGAGGACCGAACCGACUAAUGUUGAAAAAUUAGCGGAUGACCUGUGGCUGGGGGUGAAAGGCCAAUCAAACCGGGAGAUAGCUGGUUCUCCCCGAAAGCU